ensembl:rRNA 5S_rRNA 5S ribosomal RNA
CUCUAAGGCCAUACUACCCUGAACGCGCCUGAUCUCGUCUGGUCUCAGAAGCUAAGCAGGGUCGGGCCUAGUUAGUAAUUGGAUGGGAAACCUCAUAAAUCUUGGGAAGCAUUUGGGU